rnacentral:rRNA from 1 species
AAAAGAGAAGAUUAUUUUUAAGAUAGAUAGAGAUUUUAAAAGUUAUUAUUAUUUAGAUGAUUAUGCUAAUGAUAGAGAAUAGUACUGUGAAGGAAAUUUGAAAAGUGGAUUGGUUAUUUUUAUGAAAGCAGAUGAAAACUCUUACCUUUUGUAUAAGGGAUUAACAAGAGAAUUAAUAUAUAUUAGGUUCCCGGAGGCUUUUGAGCUAUAAUUGAUUAAAUAAAUAGUUGCAUAUAUUAAUUGAAUAGUUAUAGAAAUGAAAUUUUAUUCGAAAAAGUGGAUAUCUGGUUAAAAGGAAAGAAAUUAUAUAUUUAUUUAUGAUGUUUUUUUUUAGUAAAUUUCAUAAAAUUGAGUUUUAGGGAUAAGCUUAGAGUUUUGUUUAUAAAAGGGUAAAAGGAUUGAAUAAGGUUUAGAAUUUACUAUUUUUGUAAUAAAGAAUUAUUAGGUUUAUUAAUAGAUUAGAUUGUUUUUAAUUCAAAUAAUUAUUAGUUGAUGAUUAUUAUGUUAUAAUUAGUAUAAGAUUAAUUUUGUAUUGAAUGUUAAUGUUAUUUGAUUAUAGUUUUAAGAAGAGAAGUAAUUCGGCAAAUUUAAUUCUUGAAUGUUUAACAAAAACAUUGUAUUUUGGAUUAAUAAAAUAUAUAACCUGCUCAAUGUGUAAAUUAAUUGCUGUGGUAUUAUGACUAUACAAAGGUAUUGUAAUAAGACUUUAAAUGGGUGCUAAGAGAAUGGUUUAACAAGGAUUGACUUUCUUAUUUUCUAAAAUGGAAUUUGAUUUAAAAAUGAAAAAGUUUUUAUGAAAUUUUGGGACAAGAAGACCCUAUGAAUUUUACAUUAAAAAAUUUAUAAAUUAGUUAUAACAAUUAAUGAGUUUUUUGAUGUUGAUUGGGGCGAUUUUUAAAGAAUAUAGAUCUUUAAAAAAAUUAUAAAAUAGAUCCGUUAUUAAUGGAUAUUUGUAAAAAUACUCUAGGGAUAACAGCGUAAUAACUUUGGAUAGAUCUAAUAGAUAAAGUGGUUUGCGACCUCGAUGUUGGAUUAAGAUUCUUUUAAGAUGUAGAAGUCUUAGAAAGAAGUUUGCUCAACUUUUAAAAUCUUACAUGAUCUGAGUUCAGACCGGCGUGAGCCAGGUUGGUUUCUAUCUAAAUUAGAUAAGUUUUAUUAUAGUACGAAAGGAAUUAAUAAUUAAAAUUAUUUUUUAAUUUUAUUUUUUAUUUAAAAAUAAAUUUAACG